GUAGGCUGGUUUUCCAGGCAAAUCCGGAAAAUCAAGGCUGAGGCGUGAUGACGAGGCACUACGGUGCUGAAGCAACAAAUGCCCUGCUUCCAGGAAAAGCCUCUAAGCAUCAGGUAACAUCAAAUCGUACCACAAACCGACACAGGUGGUCAGGUAGAGAAUACCAAGGCGCUUGAGAGAACUCGGGUGAAGGAACUAGGCAAAAUGGUGCCGUAACUUCGGGAGAAGGCACGCUGAUAUGUAGGUGAGGUCCCUCGCGGAUGGAGCUGAAAUCAGUCGAAGAUACCAGCUGGCUGCAACUGUUUAUUAAAAACACAGCACUGUGCAAACACGAAAGUGGACGUAUACGGUGUGACGCCUGCCCGGUGCCGGAAGGUUAAUUGAUGGGGUUAGCGCAAGCGAAGCUCUUGAUCGAAGCCCCGGUAAACGGCGGCCGUAACAAUAACGGUCCUAAGGUAGCGAAAUUCCUUGUCGGGUAAGUUCCGACCUGCACGAAUGGCGUAAUGAUGGCCAGGCUGUCUCCACCCGAGACUCAGUGAAAUUGAACUCGCUGUGAAGAUGCAGUGUACCCGCGGCAAGACGGAAAGACCCCGUGAACCUUUACUAUAGCUUGACACUGAACAUUGAGCCUUGAUGUGUAGGAUAGGUGGGAGGCUUUGAAGUGUGGACGCCAGUCUGCAUGGAGCCGACCUUGAAAUACCACCCUUUAAUGUUUGAUGUUCUAACGUUGACCCGUAAUCUGGGUUGCGGACAGUGUCUGGUGGGUAGUUUGACUGGGGCGGUCUCCUCCUAAAGAGUAACGGAGGAGCACGAAGGUUGGCUAAUCCUGGUCGGACAUCAGGAGGUUAGUGCAAUGGCAUAAGCCAGCUUGACUGCGAGCGUGACGGCGCGAGCAGGUGCGAAAGCAGGUCAUAGUGAUCCGGUGGUUCUGAAUGGAAGGGCCAUCGCUCAACGGAUAAAAGGUACUCCGGGGAUAACAGGCUGAUACCGCCCAAGAGUUCAUAUCGACGGCGGUGUUUGGCACCUCGAUGUCGGCUCAUCACAUCCUGGGGCUGAAGUAGGUCCCAAGGGUAUGGCUGUUCGCCAUUUAAAGUGGUACGCGAGCUGGGUUUAGAACGUCGUGAGACAGUUCGGUCCCUAUCUGCCGUGGGCGCUGGAGAACUGAGGGGGGCUGCUCCUAGUACGAGAGGACCGGAGUGGACGCAUCACUGGUGUUCGGGUUGUCAUGCCAAUGGCACUGCCCGGUAGCUAAAUGCGGAAGAGAUAAGUGCUGAAAGCAUCUAAGCACGAAACUUGCCCCGAGAUGAGUUCUCCCUGACUCCUUGAGAGUCCUGAAGGAACGUUGAAGACGACGACGUUGAUAGGCCGGGUGUGUAAGCGCAGCGAUGCGUUGAGCUAACCGGUACUAAUGAACCGUGAGGCUUAACCCU
rnacentral:rRNA from 1 species